UACGUAGGGCGCAAGCGUUGUCCGGAAUUAUUGGGCGUAAAGAGCUCGUAGGCGGUUUGUCGCGUCUGCUGUGAAAACCUAAGGCUCAACCUUGGGCUUGCAGUGGGUACGGGCAGACUAGAGUGCGGUAGGGGGUGACUGGAAUUCCUGGUGUAGCGGUGAAAUGCGCAGAUAUCAGGAGGAACACCCGGUGGCGAAGGCGGGUCUCUGGGCCGAUACUGACGCUGAGGAGCGAAAGCGUGGGGAGCAAACAGG
rnacentral:rRNA from 1 species